UGGCUCAGGACGAACGCUGGCGGCGUGCUUAACACAUGCAAGUCGAACGGAAAGGCCCUUUCGGGGGUGCUCGAGUGGCGAACGGGUGAGUAACACGUGGGUGAUCUGCCCUGCACUUUGGGAUAAGCCUGGGAAACUGGGUCUAAUACCGAAUACACCUCGCUGGCUGCAUGGUUGGUGGGGGAAAGCUUUUGCGGUGUGGGAUGGGCCCGCGGCCUAUCAGCUUGUUGGUGGGGUGAUGGCCUACCAAGGCGACGACGGGUAGCCGGCCUGAGAGGGUGUCCGGCCACACUGGGACUGAGAUACGGCCCAGACUCCUACGGGAGGCAGCAGUGGGGAAUAUUGCACAAUGGGCGCAAGCCUGAUGCAGCGACGCCGCGUGAGGGAUGACGGCCUUCGGGUUGUAAACCUCUUUCAGCAUCGACGAAGCGCAAGUGACGGUAGAUGCAGAAGAAGCACCGGCCAACUACGUGCCAGCAGCCGCGGUAAUACGUAGGGUGCGAGCGUUGUCCGGAAUUACUGGGCGUAAAGAGCUCGUAGGUGGUUUGUCGCGUUGUCCGUGAAAACUCACAGCUCAACUGUGGGCGUGCGGGCGAUACGGGCAGACUGGAGUACUGCAGGGGAGACUGGAAUUCCUGGUGUAGCGGUGGAAUGCGCAGAUAUCAGGAGGAACACCGGUGGCGAAGGCGGGUCUCUGGGCAGUAACUG
rnacentral:rRNA from 1 species